rnacentral:rRNA from 2 species
UACGUAGGGUGCGAGCGUUAAUCGGAAUUACUGGGCGUAAAGCGUGCGCAGGCGGUUCGCUGUGUCCGAUGUGAAAGCCCCGGGCUUAACCUGGGAAUGGCAUUGGAAACUGGCGGGCUUGAGUGUGGCAGAGGGGGGUGGAAUUCCGCGUGUAGCAGUGAAAUGCGUAGAGAUGCGGAGGAACACCGAUGGCGAAGGCAGCCCCCUGGGCUAACACUGACGCUCAGGCACGAAAGCGUGGGGAGCAAACAGG